GCAUGGUUGUCGUCAGCUCGUGUCGUGGGAUGUUGGGUUAAGUCCCGCAACGAGCGCAACCCUUGUCUUUAGUGGCCAUCAUUAAGUUGGGCACUCUAGAGAGACUGCCAGGGAUAACCUGGAGGAAGGUGGGGAUGACGUCAAAUCAUCAUGCCCCGUAUGCUUAGGGCUACACACGUGCUACAAUGGGUAGUACAGAGGGUUGCCAAGCCGUAAGGCGGAGCUAAUCCCUUAAAGCUACUCUCAGUUCGGAUUGUAGGCUGAAACUCGCCUACAUGAAGCUGGAGUUACUAGUAAUCGCAGAUCAGAAUGCUGCGGUGAAUGCGUUCCCGGGUCUUGUACACAC
rnacentral:rRNA from 1 species